ensembl:snRNA predicted gene, 23384
UCUCUCACCUCAGUAACACAUGCAUUAAGUUGGUACAAUACAGAAAUUAGUAUAGCCAUUGUGCAAGGAUGGCAUGCAAAUUCUUGAAACAUUCUAUAAUAUU